AGGUAAUGGCUGUGGCCUCAGCCGAUUGGCUGGGGAAGGGUCGUGGCCUCGGCUGAUUGGCUGGGGAAGGGUCGGAGUCCUGUUACGCAGGUUGCCGGGCGUGUUUUGAUUGGGAAGUUUGAACUUACUCAAGGGGAGGAGGCGUGGUCAAGGUGGAGGACACAGAACAAGAUGGAGUCGGCCCGGUGUAGGUCCACCCUUUCAUUGAAUACACAUCUGUUUUUACCCCCAAGGCCAAGCUUUGUCCACUCUACACACUGUGACGUAAAUUAACAUUUCUUGUGAUAUAGUUAAGAUCUCAGCGGGGCAGGAGGGCGUGCACUUGGAGAUGCUUGGCUCCUCCAACAUGAAAUGGCAUACUUAAGAGGUCAAGAUUAGGCCACCUCCAGGACCACCUGUCAUGCUAGGUCAAAGCCCCCUAUUAUCCUGCUGAACUACUGUCAACACAAUUGUAUGAUUCUAUAGACCGUAGAGUUUGUUCUUGUGACUCACAAAACAUCAACAGACCCGUUUUCUAUAGUUAAAAAAAAAAAAAAAAAGAUUUAAUUUAGCCUGACUCUGCCACCUCCAUGCCACCCUUCACUGUCACUCCAGUAGGGCCUCACACUCCUCCCCAUCAUCACCCCUUACUUCAGAGUGCCAGCAUCCGCUGAUUUCGUGUGGCUUCUGGAUGCUCCGCCAGGCGUCUCGUUCUUGUUCCAGACACCUCACUCCAUCCCACACUGGGCACCGCUCGGAUUCCUUCACCACUUGUACCUACUCAGAGUGUUUGAGCUGAGAAGGAAGAAGGGCGGGAGAGUUUGCAGGGACAGAACCCAUGGAGGAACACUUACUGGAAAUCAGGUGGGAGGUGGUCCGCUGCGGGGAGUCCUUGGGUGCUCCUGGCGGGCAGAGGCCAGGAGAGGGGACUGAGCCAGGCCCAGGAUUGAGAGCAGGCCCGCUGGGCUAAGAAAGUGCCAUUCUAAGAACCUCCCCCUCGGGGAGGUAUGGUUCUAAUGAUGCCUCUUUUAUGCACAUGAAAAUAGGAUCUUUGAUUACCCACUUUGCUCAAAGUUAACAGAGUUGGUAAGUAGCAGGCUUGGAGUAAAGCGGGCUCCUGGCCCUGGGCCACGCUCUUGGUCAUGGUGCUAUUAUUGUGCACUCUAGGAAGACAAGCACAUUUAGAUGGAAUGCCAGUCAACCUCCUUACUCAGACCCCCAGUGAAGUGUUUGACCUCUCAGAGGCACCGUUUCCACACCUAUAAUAAGAUAGGUGCGUUGAAACCUAUCUCGUAAUGUUAAGAUCAAGUCAAUGUGAAGUCUACCGUCAAGUAGGUUCGAUAAAAAUCAGUAUUCCUUCUUUAUGACAUUUUCUGUAUUUUGUGAAAAGGAUCAUUAACAGCAUCUUUAAGGUUGCUUUAAGGUUGAUUGAAGCAUCUUUAAUCCGUUUCUGAGAUUGUUUUACUUUGUAAAAAAGUCAUAAGCAUUGAGGGGCAAACCCAGUGCCUGUUCCUUGAUUUUGAGUUUAACAGAAUUUAAACAGGAGGGAACGAAUGACUAUUGGUUUGUAGCUAGAGGUGAAAAAAUGUUGCAAGAAUGAUCCAAUUUGAUCUGAAAAAAAAAAAAAUCACACAAUUGGCAGAUUGAAGGGCUCGCCUUUAAAACUACUACACAUAAUCAGGUCGAUUUUUGCUCUGUGUUACAACUGCCUUUUCCCAAAAAUUUCUGCUUUCCUUGGAGACUGUUUAACAGG
rnacentral:lncRNA from 1 species